UACAGAGGGGGCAAGCGUUGUUCGGAAUUACUGGGCGUAAAGGGCGCGUAGGCGGCCUGCUAAGUCGAACGUGAAAUCCCCGGGCUCAACCCGGGAACUGCGUCCGAUACUGGCAGGCUUGAAUCCGGGAGAGGGAUGUGGAAUUCCAGGUGUAGCGGUGAAAUGCGCAGAUAUCAGGAGGAACACCGGUGGCGAAGGCGGGUCUCUGGGCCGAUACUGACGCUGAGGAGCGAAAGCGUGGGGAGCGAACAGG
rnacentral:rRNA from 1 species